CAGUCGCCACGGGAAUACGUAGGGUGCGAGCGUUAAUCGGAAUUACUGGGCGUAAAGCGUGCGCAGGCGGUUAUAUAAGACAGAUGUGAAAUCCCCGGGCUCAACCUGGGACCUGCAUUUGUGACUGUAUAGCUAGAGUACGGUAGAGGGGGAUGGAAUUCCGCGUGUAGCAGUGAAAUGCGUAGAUAUGCGGAGGAACACCGAUGGCGAAGGCAAUCCCCUGGACAAAGACUGACGCUCAGGUGCGAAAGCGUGGGGAGCAAACAGGAUUAGAUACCCCUGUAGUCCCUGUCUCUUAUAA
rnacentral:rRNA from 1 species